rnacentral:rRNA from 1 species
GAUGAACGCUGGCGGCGUGCCUAAUACAUGCAAGUCGAGCGAACAGACGAGGAGCUUGCUCCUCUGACGUUAGCGGCGGACGGGUGAGUAACACUUGGAUAACCUACCUAUAAGACUGGGAUAACUUCGGGAAACCGGAGCUAAUACCGGAUAAUAUAUUGAACCGCAUGGUUCAAUAGUGAAAGACGGUUUUGCUGUCACUUAUAGAUGGAUCCGCGCCGCAUUAGCUAGUUGGUAAGGUAACGGCUUACCAAGGCGACGAUGCGUAGCCGACCUGAGAGGGUGAUCGGCCACACUGGAACUGAGAAACGGUACAGACUCCUACGGGAGGCAGCAGUAGGGAAUCUUCCGCAAUGGGCGAAAGCCUGACGGAGCAAAGCCGCGUGAGUGAUGAAGGUCUUCGGAUCGUAAAACUCUGUUAUUAGGGAAGAACAAAUGUGUAAGUAACUAUGCACGUCUUGACGGUACCUAAUCAGAAAGCCACGGCUAACUACGUG